rnacentral:rRNA from 1 species
CCUACGGGUGGCAGCAGUGGGGAAUCUUGCGCAAUGGGCGAAAGCCUGACGCAGCAACGCCGCGUGCGGGAAGAAGGCUCUCGGGUUGUAAACCGCUUUCAGCAGGAACGAAAAUGACGGUACUUGCAGAAGAAGGUGCGGCCAACUACGUGCCAGCAGCCGCGGUGACACGUAGGCACCAAGCGUUGUCCGGAUUUAUUGGGCGUAAAGAGCUCGUAGGCGGUUCGGUAAGUCAGGUGUGAAAACUUUGGGCUUAACCCAAAGCCUGCAUCUGAUACUGCUGUGACUAGAGUUCGGUAGGGGAGUGGGGAAUUCCUAGUGUAGCGGUGAAAUGCGCAGAUAUUAGGAGGAACACCGGUGGCGAAGGCGCCACUCUGGGCCGAUACUGACGCUGAGGAGCGAAAGCGUGGGUAGCAAACAGGAUUAGAUACCCCUGUAGUC